AUUGAACGCUGGCGGCAUGCUUUACACAUGCAAGUCGAACGGUAACAGGCCUUCGGGUGCUGACGAGUGGCGAACGGGUGAGUAAUGCAUCGGAACGUGCCCAGAGGUGGGGGAUAACGCAGCGAAAGCUGUGCUAAUACCGCAUGUGAUCUGAUGAUGAAAGCGGGUGACCAGACAGCAAUUUUUGGCCUCGCGCCUUUGGAGCGGCCGAUGUCAGAUUAGGUAGUUGGUGGGGUAAAGGCCUACCAAGCCGACGAUCUGUAGCUGGUCUGAGAGGACGACCAGCCACACUGGGACUGAGACACGGCCCAGACUCCUACGGGAGGCAGCAGUGGGGAAUUUUGGACAAUGGGGGCAAGCCUGAUCCAGCAAUGCCGCGUGCGGGAAGAAGGCCUUCGGGUUGUAAACCGCUUUUGUACGGAACGAAAAGGCUCUGGCUAAUACCUGGGGCUGAUUACGGUACCGUAAGAAUAAGCACCGGCUAACUACGUG
rnacentral:rRNA from 1 species